rnacentral:rRNA from 1 species
UACGAAGGGGGGCUAGCGUUGUUCGGAUUUACUGGGCGUAAAGCGCACGUAGGCGGAUUGGUCAGUUAGAGGUGAAAAUCCCGAAGCUCAACUUCGGAACUGCCUUUAAUACUGCCAGUCUAGAGUCCGGAAGAGGUAAGUGGAACUCCUAGUGUAGAGGUGGAAUUCGUAGAUAUUAGGAAGAACACCAGUGGCGAAGGCGGCUUACUGGUCCGGUACUGACGCUGAGGUGCGAAAGCGUGGGAGCAAAACAGG